UUAAAUCAGAUGAUUUCUUGAGAUUCCUUCCAGAUACAGUAUCAGUCAAUGUCCCCCACUCACUUAUUCACUCUCCUUAGAAUACAUAUAUAUUCAGAAAAAAAAAAUGACAUUGAUCCUAUCUAUCUUCCCUCCUCUUCAAAUACAGGUUCCUAAAGUGUCCAGUUUACAAGUCAAUUCACUGCUGGAUAAUUUAAUAUGUGGCUUACUCUCUAUAUGCCAUAGAGGCAGUGUGCUUAAUAAGGUCCCUAAAGACCUCAUUUUCAAUGCAUUGAGCAUCUCCCCUCUCUCCUCCUCAUUCUCUCUUAUCCUAAGGGUGUGUGUGUGUGUGUGCAUUGCACACGGUAUUGUCUCAAUUGUGUCCCCCCAACAAUUCAUGUUGCAUCCCUAAUCCCCAAGGUGACUGUAUUUGGAGAUAGGGCCUUUAAGGUGGUAACUAAGUUUAAAUGAGAUCAUAAGGGUGGGGCCCGAAUCCCACAGGACUGGUGUCCUUAGGAGAAGGGACACCAGAGAGCUGUCUUUCUCUGCACAUGUGAGCACACACACAGAGGAAAGGCCAUGUGAGGACAAGGCGAGAAGGCACCGUCAGGCAAGCCAGGAAGAGAGGCCUCACCAGAAACAAAAUUUACUGGCACCUUGAUAUUGGACUUCUAGUCUACAGA
rnacentral:lncRNA from 10 species